rnacentral:rRNA from 1 species
AACGAACGCUGGCGGCAGGCCUAACACAUGCAAGUCGAGCGCUCACCCUCGGGUGGGAGCGGCGCACGGGUGAGUAACACGUGGGAACCUACCUUGAAGUCCGGAAUAACUGAGGGAAACUUCAGCUAAUACCGUAUACGCCCUACGGGGGAAAGAUUUAUCGCUUCAAGACGGGCCCGCGUUGGAUUAGCUAGUUGGUGAGGUAAGAGCUCACCAAGGCAACGAUCCAUAGCUGAUUUGAGAGAAUGAUCAGCCACACUGGGACUGAGACACGGCGCAGGAUCGUACGGGAGGCAGCAGUGGGGAAUAUUGGACAAGGGGCGCAAGCCUGAUCCAGCCAUGCCGCGUGAGUGAUGAAGGCCUUCGGGUUGUAAAGCUCUUUCAGAUGGGACGAUGAUGACGGUACCAUCAGAAGAAGCCCCGGCUAACUUCGUGCCAGCCGCCGCCGUAACAC